GCACACGUACGUGUGUGACAGCCUGGCCUUGACUGUGAGCAUCACUGGGCUUUUGAAACCUUGGUUCAAUAGCGUGUUCAAAACCAAACCAAACCAAAGGCCUUCAGGCAGUGAGAAUACCUCCCUGAGAUUGGAAAACCUUCUGGAAAGCCGCUGAACUGAAAGGUGUUUCGGAAGAACGAUAGGUGGCCAGGACGCUGUCCACAGAGAAGGCUGAAUGGGCUUCUUCUCAAAGGCCCUUUGUUCGGCUGGAUGGAGUUUGCAGGUGCAACCUUAAGGAGGAGAGUGAGACACUAGAUGUUUCUGGCACCUCGCAUUGACAGAAGCCAAUUGACAAAGGGAUCUAGGCCAUGCGGUCUGCAGAGAUAAAGCCCCGAGGGCACAGAGCAGCCCCCCCAAAAAGGGAAGAGAAAGUAUAAAGCGACGGUGGAUUGAAAAGUGGAGGAGCAACCUGCCAUUCUUAGAGUGGCUUGGGUGGCGCGAGUUCGAUCCUUGACCCACACAUGCCGUGGGUGAGGCCACAGGACAAAAAAAACAGUCCUUGAAUCCUCAGCAAUUUCUGAGAGGUAAUUUGGAAAGCCACAGUGAGGUUCUGGAGGAAGAGUCUUAGAGACGAUGAGAUUUUUCAAGGAGAGGCCACCUGGAGGAGGAACCUUCAUCCCCGUCACUGUGGCCGUUCUUAAUGGUAGAAAGCCGCCCAGCUGCCACUUGCCUGCUGCCGGAGUGCUCCUCUUCUCCCUCGUCCAGCUAAUGCUGAGGCCGAGACAGUGAGCCGCAGGGGCUUCAUCCAUCCACCAAGGUCAGAAGUCUAGGAGCAGCCUGGCUGGGUGUUUCUGGCUCAGGAUUUCUUGUGAAAUUAUCAUCAAGACUUUGGCUGAGAUGCAGUCAUUUGAAGGUUUGCCUGGGGCUAGAGGAUCCCCUUUGAAGAUGGUGUAUCCACAUGCUUGACAGAUGUGCUCCAUGCAAAUGGGAAGGAAUCAGAAUCCCAUGCAGAAGAAAAGCAAAGUCCAUCAGGGAGCCUCCAGUAAAUGAUGCCCCAAUGAGUAAGUCAUUCCAAUUGGGCCUCUUGGAUUUACCAGGUUUAAUUCUUCUGCCUCUCUGGAAUCCCCAGUGGGUAAUUGCUGGUGACAGGUUUAUACCUCAAGACGGGCGUUUGGUCACUCAGCUCCAGUUCCUGCAAACAACUUUACAGUCUGUCAAGCCCAAACCACUUUUAGCUGUGGCGAUGGGUGUCAGAUAACGUUCGCCCUUGUGAUUCAAGGCUGACGCCUACUCCGGCGUGAAGUAAAGGGAAUCAUUACCAAGGAAGGGAAUGGGAAUCUCAAGGAAGAAGAGGUUACUGCUGAGCGAGGAGCAGGGCCUGGCAGACAUGGACCCACGUGAGGUCUGGCACACUGGGCCCUGCCAGCCCCGGGGUCAGUGAGUCAGCACAUGUGCCUGGGCGCCUACCUCAUGUCCCGUUCUCCGGUGGAGGGUGGGGGACUUUGCGUGCGAUGUCUGGAACCCUAAUUUUCUCUCUCCCGUAUGAAGACUCCAUCACCCCCAAGACUCCCGAGGUCAAUGGCUGGGCUCAUCCUCAUAUUUAAUUUAAUUUAUUUUUUGUCUUUUUUUUUUCAGGGCUACCCCACAGCAUAUGGAAGUUCCCGGGAAGCUAUGGGUUGAAACGGGGCUACAUCUGCCGGCCUACACCACAGCCACAGCCACAUGAGAUCCGAGCCUAGUCUGCGAUCUACACCCCAGCUCAUGGUAACACCAGAUCCUUAACCCACGGAGCAAGGCCAGGGAUGGAACCCACAUCCUCAUAGAUACUAGUCAGGAUCAUUACCUCUGAGCCACGACAGGAACUCCUCAUGCCCCUAUUUUAAAUGUUAACUAAUCUCCUUUUUUAUACCAAAGCCUAUGGUCUAACUCAAGUGUCCGUUAGAGGGAUGUUUAGCUUCCAUGCCUUAAUUCUUUCCCCCAGUUGGUGAUAUUCAGUUAAUCUACCCAGUUUAAACCUGGCAAAGGGCUGACUUUUCACAGCAUCAAUGGAGGGGUCUCCACCCCAGCCCCGCCCCCCAAAGUGCCCAUUACUCUUCCACUACUGCCCUCCACCCACCUUCCUGGAUGGCAUGCCACGCUGACUGUCCACUCUCCCGUUAACUCAGCUCAAGGGCCCUCGGGGCCACACCUUCAUUCAUUCUUCCCUGGCCUGAGCCUGGCCCCCCUUCGCAAGGACAGAAGAAGCACAGAGAUGAGGGAAACGUGUUCAUUCAGAUCAUAGGCUUAUCACUGCAUCACCAUCGUCUCCUUAUUUUUCUUCUUCCCUCCUCCUCCUUUUUACUGAAGUAGAGUUGAUCUACUGUGUUGUGUUAGGCGUUCCCAUUGUGGCUCAGUGGUUAACGAACUGAACUAGUUAGUAUCCGUGAGGACGCGGGUUCGAUCCCUGGCCUCGCUCAGUGGGUUAAGGAUCCAGCAUUGCUGUGAACUGUGGUUUAAGUUGCAGAUACAGCUUGGAUCCGUUGUUGCUGUGGCGGAGGUGUAUAGGCAGCUGUAGCUCUGGUUCGAUCCCUGGCCUCGCUCAGUGGGUUAAGGAUCCAGCAUUGCUGUGAACUAUGGUUUAAGUUGCAGAUACAGCUCAGAUCCCUUGUUGCUGUGGCGGAGGUGUAUAGGAAGCUGUAGCUCUGAUUUGACCCCUGGCCUGGGAACCUCCACAUGCCUCAGGUGCAGGUCUGCAAAAAAAAAA
rnacentral:lncRNA from 1 species